GGAAUAUUGGACAAUGGGGGAAACCCUGAUCCAGCAAUGCCGCGUGAGUGAGGAAGGCCUUAGGGUUGUAAAGCUCUUUCACCCGCGACGAUGAUGACGGUAGCGGGAGAAGAAGCCCCGGCUAACUUCGUGCCAGCAGCCGCGGUAAUACGAAGGGGGCGAGCGUUGUUCGGAUUUACUGGGCGUAAAGGGCGCGCAGGCGGCCGCAUUUGUCAGGCGUGAAAGCCCCGGGCUUAACCUGGGAACUGCGCUUGAGACGGUGUGGCUAGAGUUCGGGAGAGGAGAGUGGAAUUCCCAGUGUAGAGGUGAAAUUCGUAGAUAUUGGGAAGAACACCGGUGGCGAAGGCGGCUCUCUGGACCGGGACUGACGCUGAGGCGCGAAAGCGUGGGGAGCAAAC
rnacentral:rRNA from 1 species